rnacentral:lncRNA from 1 species
CUCCGGACCCGGGCAGCGCCGGGAGGGCGGCGGGCGCCGCGCCCGCUGCCGGAGCGGGGGGAGGACGAGAGGAUGGAGACGGAGGAGGGUGGGAGAGGGGGGCGAGGGGGGCGCCCCCGCUGUGCCAGCCGCUCCCCGCCCCCCCGCAGCGUGCGCCCACCCCUCUUUCCCCCACCCACCCCCCACCCACCCCCGGCGGCGGGCAGCCCCGGGGCGCUGCCUUACCUGGCAACCGGGGCGGGCGCCGCCGGCGCGUCCUUCAGCGCUCCCCCCGCGGCGGGGCCGCGCUCAGCCCCGGCCCCUCCCGGUGCGCGGAGCGGCGCGGAGCGGUGCGCCCCCGCGCAAGGCAGGCUGACACCCCCCCCCUUCUCCUCCCUUCCCUUCUUCCCUUCCCCUCCCCGUCCCUAUCCCCCGGCGGGCAGGCGGCGCGCCGGGCGUUAAGUUCGGGCGGCGGUGGGCGCCGGCGGGCAGGGCGAGGCGAGGCGGAGGCGGCCCGGGGGCUGCGCGGCGCCGGGAGCGCCGCCACACUGCAGCGUCUCCAGGAAUCCCUCCCGCGAGAGGCAGCCCAUCACCCCCGGCCCGCCGCCCUCAUUGGCUGGGGGGCGGGGAGAACGGAGCCGCCGGCCAAUCGCGCGGCGCCCAGCAUGGGUGGAGCCGCCGCGCCGGCCUCGCCCAUCCCGCGGCCGCCCGGUCCCCGGCCGCCCCGUCGGGCGGGGCCGGGCGCCGAGGGCAUCCCCGCGCGGCCGCGCGCACCCCGGUCCGUGCGCGGCCCCGCGCGGCCCCGCGCACCGCUGCGGGAAGCGGAGGCGGUGGCGGUGGCGACCCCUCGGUGCUGGGCUCUCCCCGGAGCAGCCCGCAUCGCCCCCAGAAAACUUGAGCAAGAGGUGAUGUGUCCGACGACCACGUAG